CUUUUAUUUUAAAAUGCCAAGUUGUUGUGUUCCUUUGUGUGGAAAUAAAAGCCGAUUGUUUCGUCUUCCAACAGGUGUUAGUAAUAGGGCUAGAAGAGAGAUGUGGGAGAAUUUAAUAGGCCGGGACGAUUUGAACGACAACUCCAGAGUUUGCGAAUUACAUUUUUCUGAACAACAAUUCGAAGCAAAGCGAGCAGAUGGAAGGAAACUAUUGCGGCCGAAUGCUGUUCCAGAUGUAUUAAAUAAAAAUGUUGGUGCUUGUGUUUCAAUGGACGACUGUACUCCUUUGACAACUGGUAGGGAAAAUGAAAUUUUUGAACUUGAAAGCUGUAGCAACAAUGAAAAUGUAAAUGUUGGUUGUUUCCCUGAAGU